ACGUAGGGGGCGAGCGUUAUUCGGAAUUACUGGGUGUAAAGGGUAUGUAGGCGGCCCUUCAAGUCGCGCGUCAAAGUCCAGUGCUCAACGCUGGGCGUGCGUUUGAUACUGACGGGCUUGAGGGUUGGUGAGGUGAGCGGAAUUCCCGGUGUAGCGGUAAAAUACUUAGAGAUGGGGCAGAACACCAGCGGUGCAGGCAGGUCACUAAAUUAUUUCUGACGCUCAGAUACGAAAGCGUGGGGAUCAAACAG
rnacentral:rRNA from 1 species